rnacentral:lncRNA from 1 species
UCACUUGCCUAAGGUCAUGCAGAUCAUUAAUGCCAUAGCCAAGACCUGAGCACGUUCUCCUAAAGCCAGGUCAGGCCUCUUGUCACAUACUCCAUUGACUCUAGUGCCUAACCCAUGCUCAUCACAGAGCUCACAUUGGAACCAUUGUUAAACAGACUCUAAUGGAAAUGACUUCGUUCAGCUGGUGAACAUUUUGGAAGAUUCCAGAAAAACAUGAACAAGUGUUUGAGUGCUCUUAAGGGGAUUGUCUAAUAUCUUGGCUCCUGACUCAUCCUUAGAAGUCUUCCAGCCACCUUGUACCCAUUUCAAGCCCAAGGGCUCUUUAACGUAAAUGAGUUACUGAGCAGGGUGCAAUGCAAAUUGCUUUGGCUUCCACACAGCUCCUGUCGCUUCAAGUGCGGAUGGUUAAUGGGACCUGGACUGGAAAAGGAUUGUUUGUGUGGGAAUCAUUCAUGGCAAAGGCAGUGACACCUCCUUCAAAAACCUGUGUCUUUCUGGCAGAGUGUUGCUGGAGAUGGCCACUGGAGAGGCUGAGUCAAAUCAAUCUCCUCACCUGAGGACUUCCUAAGACCAGCGCACUGAAGGACCAGCAGCAACAACAACAAUAAUGCUAAUGCUCCCUUAUGGACAAGACUGCAAUUCUCUGCCUGCUGAAGCUCAGCUAUGACCACGUGACUUGCCUUGGCCAAUGAAAGAGGAAGAGUAUGUAACACUGCUGAAUGGAAGCAAGUGGCCCCUGCCCCUGCUGCAGAGAUUCUAGACAUGUGUGCCAUGCUGGAGCAAGGAGACAGGGAGUCCUGGAGAAAGGAGACAUGGAACAGAGCUCCCAGCCCAGU